AUNCAGCACGCCGCGUGAGGGNCGACGGCCUUCGGGUUGUAAACCUCUUUUNNCAGGGAAGAAGCGAAAGUGACGGUACCUGCAGAAAAAGCACCGGCUAACUACGUGCCAGCAGCCG
rnacentral:rRNA from 1 species